rnacentral:tRNA from 1 species
GGGGGUAUAGCUCAGUUGGUAGAGCACCUGCUUUGCAAGCAGGGGGUCAGCGGUUCGAAUCCGCUUACCUCCA